UUUUAGAUUAUUCCGGGGCGAAAGAUGGUUGGAGAUGGUCGCCCGCGGGCCCGAUAGACGUUCGAUCGGCUCGAUGGGAAUUAACGAGACAUGACCGGAGAUAAUUGGAACAGGGAGAUUGGUCCGCGGUUCGACGAUGGUGAAAAUUCAUCGCCGUUUACGCCGGUGACGAGGGAGAAAAAAUAACCAGCGAAAUGGCGGAUCUCGGAAGGUAUUGCUGUGUCUCCUGGGAAUGGUUUAGCUUCCGGUCUGAGGAAGAGCGGAUACUGUUACACGAUCGCCGCUCAGUGCAGAGACCUGCGUUACCACCCGGAAUGAAGAAUCGCUACCUUCGAAGUACAAUCGUAGAUGGCGUGUGCGGUAGCUGCUGCAGCUGUUACACAUUUUUAGUCGACGUAUCGCGGGAAAAUUUCCUAACUAUAAGUUUACGACAACCGAGUCCUGUGUUAAUAAUCAAACAAAAGAUUAAUGACAGAAUAAGGAAAUAACAUAGAUCAAACCAUUUCUUGAGAACUAUGUCUCGAAUUACUGUCGUUCCCUUUUAAGUACUGGGUAACGUACACGAAAUAAAAAUAGAAACAUCUCGCAUUCAAAUACAGAAAAUGGCACAUAAAUCGCACAAGACCGUGUUUCUACUCGUUUUCGUACCACCGUUUCCGCAAAAUUGCUUAAAAAUGACCAACUCUAGUGUUUAAUCCCUACGAUCGUUCGACUAAAAUUUCUCCACUAAAAUUGCUGCCAGCCCCGCCAGUAGACCUAAUGAACCUACUAAAACUGGAAAACGAAAUUACGUACACGCAGCUAAACCAGAUACGAUCUCGAAAAUCAUUUCCUCGGGACUACUACCAUCUCGCUGGGAUAUCACGCGAUCUUCCUCAGGUACACGCCGAUUCCUCUUCAAAUAGGUUCGCGAUUGGAAUCUUGGUGAAACCUCCCCGGAUCGGUUGGCGAACGAGGGGGGAGGGGGCUCGAUGGAAUAAAAGAAGGAAGGAAAAAGACAAGCGCCGUGGAGUAGGUGGGACUCGGGCCGUGGAGUAGGUGGUGGUCGGUGCUUGUAAGGUGCACACUCGAAGAGCAAGCGGAUCCCCGCCGCGCGAGUGAACAUCGAGGUCCGAGGCAGGCGGAAAACGUCCCCUUCGCGCGGCACACGCGUCGACGAUUAUGGUCUAAUUCCCUUGUACGCGCAUUCCCACCAACCUACCUAGCUUACCUACCAACCUACCUGGCUGCCUCGCAUCACAGAACCGUCUUGGUGAGCGAACGAGGAAAAGCGUAGUUGUCGGUGCAUUCGAUAAGCGUACGCUCGAAAGACAGGGGUGUGUCCCCUUAAUUCCAUAUCUCUCGUUCUCUCCCUUUCACCCUGGCUCUCUUUCCUCCCUUUCUGCCUGCCUCUCCUCUCUUCUCGUCAUCUCCAGCUGAAUAUCUACUUUUCACCCUGUUUCUUUCUCUCUCCUUCGUAACCCCCUAUCAGCCUCCUCUCUCCGUGAACCUCCCUUUCGCUCUCUUGCUCUGCCAGCUCCCUUCGAUUCGUCGCUUUCUUCGCUCGCCAUCCGUUUUUCCUCUUUCUCCUCUUCGCCAUCGUGCAACCGCUCCCCGCGCCUCGGCUCGUUGCACCUUCCAACCCCUCUGCUCUCUCGCGUAAAUAUCGCGGUUUCUCGGUAAACAGGAGAACGCAGCGGGCAAACGAGGGACACAACGCGGCGGGAGUAACGUAUACGUGUAAUACGUAUACGUCUGUAUACAGGGUGUUUCAAAUGCUUUAUGCCAAACUUUAUCGGUACGUUGGUACAGAUAUAUAACGAAGUGAGGAACGUUAGUCAUAACGUUAGUAAAACAUAGGCGUCGUUGCUAGAGAUUUUUGUGCAAAUUUUACCUUAAGAUUAUGAUUUCUGCGUUUGAUUUAUGGUUUCGUCAUGCUUUUUCCUUCCUCAUGCUUUUGGUCCUCUGCUUUGUCGGUAACAGACAGUUAAUGGAAUGUUUUAAUACGCGCGAUGGUGCGAUGUCAUGAACGAUAUCUCGAGAAUUUUGAAGGAGAAGAGAAACAGAAAUUUGGCUAAUACAGGAAUUUUAGAGAUGCUUGUCUAUGAAAAAUCGAUUAUGUGACUUAUCGUAUGCUUCUCUUAUGAGAUUAUUAUUAUUGUUUAUAUCGUAUAACGUUAUUCAUAUAGAACGAUUUAUAAAAUAUACCAACGAAAUGUCAACUGACAAGUAAUGUUCUUAAAAUGAUAGAAACGAUGAAACAGACAGACAUUUAAAACCAAGUAGGAAGGAUAAUUAUGGCGAUAUUACGUCGAUCGACCGUGUAACGAAUUUUAAAGCUGCUCCUCUGUAAAGAAAAAGACUUUCAAUUUGCAUAAACGUACGCGGUCUAAUAAUCGUUAUAUCCUUAUCAACGUUGUUAACAUCCGUUUAUGUUGUUGAAUCAUACACGGGAACAUAAUGACAAAGUUUGCCUGUUAAAUUGUGAAACACCCUGUAUAUGUAUAUAAACGCAAGGAGAUGCGUGCACGCACACGGUUGCGAAUAUCUGCUCGUGCACGCGUGCAACGGGACGUUCCUUCGAUAUGUUCGUACACGGAUGAGACCGCGGAACGGAUGCUGGUGGAACAGAGAGGAAUAGAGGAAGAAGGGUAAAAGCAAUGGCAAGAGGGAAUAGAGAGAGGGGUGAGACUGAAAGGGGGUGGAAAGAGUAAGGGAAGCAAGGCAAAUGUCAAUAUCGACGAUGCAUCGUCAAGAGAGGACGCACUUGGGGCGGGAAUGAGGGCGUAAUUAAUCGUCCAAGCAAAGAAAUUCUCUCUUUGUCCUGUCCCCGACCCGCGUAACUACCUUCCUACCUCCUGCACUCCCCCUCCCCCGUCGCGGUGGUGGUGUCACGCGGCGAAUUUUCCGCGUGCUUGGUCUUGUUUCGAAUGACGUUUUAAACGCCGGAUUCCUUCGAGCAAUUUUUUAAUAUUGACGAAUAUGGGAAGAGAAGCUUGUUUUAGUUGAAUUUCACUUGGAUCAUUUAAUUUCAUUUAAUUUUGUAUUGUAUUACGUGAGAAAUCCCAUUUCAUCGAUGGCCUGUAUUAGAGUAAGUUCGAGUCGAAGACAGACGGUUCGAGCAAAUGGAGAAUGAGAAAAUACAGACGUUCGUACUGUGUGUAAACGUUUGGAUCGUAAUUUUCCUUUGUAUCAUGCUGUUGAAACGCCAUUGAGAUUAGGAAUCUUUUAUAGCGUAAUCUCGAGCCAACAAGAUCGCACGAAAUUAAGUAAAUUAAUUAAAUAAAUAAAAAGAAAAAAAUUGAAUAAAUUAAAUAAAUUUAAAUGUAGAAAAAUAAAAAAUCGGUAGGAUGAUAAAUAGUUGUCACAAUGGGUCUUUAUAAAAAAAAUUCCCUGUAUAAGUUUGAUCGAUAUUUUGAGUCAAACGUAACGAGUCAAAUCAGGUCUAAUUUAUCUACUCGCUUUCAUAUUACGUAAUACGUUUGUCGUACAUUUUUCCACGUAAUUUUAUGUUCACCCUGCGUUGUACACUUUUUAUCAGUUUACCGAUAUCAGUGCUAAUUUUUCCGUUUACAUUUGGUAACGAUUUAACGAGCCCUUUAAGAGAAGGGUCGACCCUUUGUACAUUUAAUCCCCUUCUUUUUUAAUCGAAUAUUACGAAGAAUAAACGAUUUUAUUAACCGAUAUUUAUCGAAGAUAUCCAGCAAGAUCUCUCGCUUCGCUCUCUUGCCCCACGUUUCAAGUUCGGUUGGAUGCUUUCUUUGGAAGUUUAACGGGAUGGAUGCACGAGAAAGCACGUGUUUGACAGCGUUAUAAUUAGCUUAUUAGUCUUACGAGAUGAAUGCAUUAGGUACUGUACCGUAAUAUCAGCGGAGAUAAGUUGUAAUUUUAAUAAAUCACGUCAUUCUCGCGUUCUCGGUAGCGUCAACUUUCGCAAUAGGAAAAUAUGUCUGUGAAAUAAUUUUCUCACUCGAUUUUAAUAACCUUUUAAUAACCAAAAGAAAUUUCAAAUAAUUAUCGAUCCACUUUUCAGAUCGAAGUAAGAAAUUACAAUUAGUAAUAAUUCUUUCCUCCGAAAGCAAAUAGAAUGCCAAUUGAAUAUAGAGAUUCGCGCAUUUCUUUCAAUAUUUCGAAUCUAUCUAUCGUUUGCUAAUCGUUCGUUUGCUAAAAUCUAUCCGAUUAAAAUUAAUUACAUCUUACAAAUUUGUCAUUCGUUGCCUAGAAAAAUGUUUGAGUAAGAAACAAUUCGUUGAAAAAGUGAAAUGUUCUCAGACAGAAGGAACAGACUUAACAUAUUUCUUAGCGACUAAUAAUAAAGAAAGAAUCGAUGAAGGAACAAGGGUGCUUGAUAAUUAUCUGCAGUCUAGAUCAGUAAUUAGAAGCACGUACCUCGCAGCCAACUGUCAUCGAUUUCGUGAUAAGCUAAUUAAAACAUCUGAUAAAUACGUAUGUUUCGUUACAUCUUCACUCGACAGAUGUACGACGAUUCUCGAUAAGAAACACGAGUCUUCGUACUUGGGUCUUUUUAUUUUACAAUUCUUCUUCUCGAUCCUCUUACCGAGGUUUGCUCUCUUGAAACUUGGAACAAGAUGCUCCGUGGUCCAAAUAAUUCUCAAGGGUUGCAGCCCCGCUUCACUCUGUUUUAAGUAGAAAUCUCGUCCCACGACGCAGAAAAAUGAGUAUAUACUUUUAAGUUUCCAAACAACGAAGAAAGGGGAAGCAGCACGGUGGCAGCCGGUCCUUGUAUUUGUCUAAAGUCCCAACGACGCCGAACAUUUGCCCAGGAAGAUGGUAUUAUAACCAAACACGGGCCUGUUCAGAUGAAAUGAUUAGUGUCGGGACAUCUGCUUCUGUUGACAGUAAACGUUGCGAGGAAAUAGUAGUAAAUUCUCAGAUUCCUUUCUGUUUUAAAACGAUACCGAUCUUCCAAUCUAUGUAACAUGUUUUUCUUUUGAUGUGUUUCCUUUUUGCUCUUUAUUCCCCUUUCUUGCCUUCUGUCGUCGUUAAAACCGUGCUUCGAGUUUCUUUAAAAUUGCGAUCAAAUUCUCGUAGAUUAUAUUUUAUCUUGUCGUACCUCUAGAGGAUUAAUUACGUUGCUGGUUUCUUUAUCUUCGCUUAUUUUGCGUGGAAAAUUAUAAAGUUCCGGCGUAAGUUUCUUUUUCGAAAUAUGUUUUGUAUCUUUGUAUUUCUUUAUACCAUCCCUUGUGCUGUGUGUUUUUUCUUUCCUUUGUACUUUCAUAUUCGUUUACACCGAAAUGGUCAUUAGCCUAUUUUUAUAGAAAUUUAACCGUGCACAGGUAAAUUGGAUGGUCGAUCGUGCAAG